rnacentral:rasiRNA from 1 species
UUUAGUUCAAACGAAAGACCGGUGC